UUAAUCAGUCUUCUGGGAAAUCUAAUCGCUUAACUAUUAGGCUUCCAGGGGAUACUGUUAGACUUGGGACCGGGAGAGGUAAGAGGUACUGCAGGGGUAGGAGUGAAAUCUUGUAAUCCCUGUGAGACCACCAGUGGCGAAGGCGUCUUACCAGAACGGGUCCGACGGUGAGGGACGAAAGCUGGGGGCACGAACCGGAUUAGAUACCCGGGUAGUCCCAGCUGUAAACGAUGCUCGUUAGGUGUCAGGAACGGUGCGACUGUUUCUGGUGCCGAAGGGAAGCCGUGAAACGAGCCACCUGGGAAGUACGGCCGCAAGGCUGAAACUUAAAGGAAUUGGCGGGGGAGCACUACAACGGGUGGAGCCUGCGGUUUAAUUGGACUCAACGCCGGAAAACUCACCGGGGGCGACAGCAAUAUGUAGGUCAGGUUAAAGGUCUUACCUGAAUCGCUGAGAGGAGGUGCAUGGCCGUCGUCAGUUCGUACUGUGAAGCAUCCUGUUAAGUCAGGCAACGAGCAAGACCCGUGCCCACUGUUACCAGCAUAUCCUUUAUGGAUGAUGGGGACUCUGUGGGGACCGCUGCUGCUAAAGCAGAGGAAGGUGCGGGCUACGGUAGGUCAGUAUGCCCCGAAUCUCCCGGGCUACACGCGGGCUACAAUGGUUGGGACAAUGGGUAUCUACUCCGAAAGGAGUUGGCAAUCUCUUAAACCCAAUCGUAGUUCGAAUUGAGGGCUGUAACUCGCCCUCAUGAAGCUGGAAUCCGUAGUAAUCGCGUUUCAACAUAGCGC
rnacentral:rRNA from 1 species